CCAAUAGCGUAUAUUAAAGUUGUUGCAGUUAAAAAGCUCGUAGUUGAACUUCGGGGUCUACCCAUUGGUCAGGCUUAAUUGUCUGCACUGGUGAGAUGGAUCUCUACCUUCUGAGGAACUUUCAUGCCAUUUAUUUGGUGUGAUGGGAAAUCAGGACUGUUACUUUGAAAAAAUUAGAGUGUUUAAAGCAGACUAUCGUCUGAAUACAUUAGCAUGGAAUAAUGAAAUAGGACGGACUGAUUCUAUUUCGUUGGUUUCUAGGAUCACCGUAAUGAUUAAUAGGGAUAGUUGGGGGCAUUAGUAUUCAAUUGUCAGAGGUGAAAUUCUUGGAUUUAUUGAAGACUAACUACUGCGAAAGCAUUUGCCAAGGAUGUUUUCAUUAAUCAAGAACGAAAGUUAGGGGAUCGAAGACGAUCAGAUACCGUCGUAGUCUUGACCAUAAACUAUGCCGACUAGGGAUCGGACGAAGUUAAUUUUAUAAUGACGCGUUCGGCGCCUUACG
rnacentral:rRNA from 1 species